rnacentral:rRNA from 1 species
AUUGAACGCUGGCGGCAGGCUUAACACAUGCAAGUCGAGCGGGGGAGGUUGCUUCGGUAACUGACCUAGCGGCGGACGGGUGAGUAAUGCUUAGGAAUCUGCCUAUUAGUGGGGGACAACAUUCCGAAAGGAAUGCUAAUACCGCAUACGUCCUACGGGGGAAAGCAGGGGAUCUUCGGACCUUGCGCUAAUAGAUGAGCCUAAGUCGGAUUAGCUAGUUGGUGGGGUAAAGGCCAACCAAGGCGACGAUCUGUAGCGGGUCUGAGAGGAUGAUCCGCCACACUGGGACUGAGACACGGCCCAGACUCCUACGGGAGGCAGCAGUGGAGAAUAUUGGACAAUGGGGGGAACCCUGAUCCAGCCAUGCCGCGUGUGUGAAGAAGGCCUUUUGGUUGUAAAGCACUUUAAGCGAGGAGGAGGCUCCUUUAGUUAAUACCUAAAGAGAGUGGACGUUACUCGCAGAAUAAGCACCGGCUAACUCUGUGCCAGCAGCCGCGGUAA